CUGAUUUAAUAUUAUUUAUUGGAAUUUCCCAGUGUGACCUUAAUCUAUCUUUCUAGUUGCAUCCUUAAACGUCCUUCAUAAAUUCUGUCUGAGAGCUGUGCAGGGAUUCUUAUCAUUCCCAGAAAAGCUUAUGCCCUUGUGUUAGUACAAGAUGUUCCCUCUACCUAGAGAAUCUUCCUCUACUUCUAUUUAUCUAUUUAGACUGGAAAACAUUCCAGUUGAGCAUUCAUAUACCACUUGCACAAUCAUCUCUCUGUGAAGUAUCCCCAAAAUGUCCUUACCUUUAUGACUCAGAUGUUCCUCCAGCACCUCUAUUAACCUUAAUGAUGGUACUUAUCACAGACAAAAUGAUCCCCCACAUUUAAAAUUUAGACCAGGGAUUGUAAGAGAUGAGACUAAGGAUUUUAUAAUCAAUUUGAAAAUAAAAGGAUGCAUAGCUUAAAAAUAUCUGGGCUUAGAGAAGACAAAUCUGAAUUACUGUUUGUCAUCAGUAACAUUUGUCAUGAAGAUAUAUUUCACGUAUUUGGAUCCUCUAAAAAUUUUAACAAAUUCAUAAAGGAAAAGCAGAAUUAUUUGUUCUCUUUCAUCUAAGCCUGCUGACAAAUGCUAAAAUCUAGAGUAAAACUGUUUUUUAAGUUCAGUACAAGAAAAGAAGCAUUUUAGUUUUUCUUUUUUCUUUUUCCUUUCAAACUCUGAGAAUACAGAGAUAAAAAUCCUUUAUCUCCUGGACCAGAAGUCACUAAAUUUCAAGUACAAGAGAAAUGAAAAAGAACAUCAUACAAACUUGGAAUUCAGAAAAC
rnacentral:lncRNA from 1 species